rnacentral:misc_RNA from 1 species
GAUUAAGAACGCAGCGAAAUGCGAUAAGUAAUGUGAAUUGCAGAAUUCAGUGAAUCAUCGAAUCUUUGAACGCACCUUGCACCCUUUGGCAUUCUGAAGGGUAUGCUCGUUUGAGUGUCAUUGUACUCUCACACUCCCGAUCUUUGCAUUGGGAGCAGUGGACUUGGGUUUGCUGCUUCACCGUCGCUUACCUCAAAUAGGUUAGUGCAACUCUUGGUUGGACAUAGUACGGCGUGAUAAGUGUUCUUCGCCGGUGCCUCGCAAAGAGGGUGGCCGAUCGGGAUGUUGUGCUCCAAACCGUCUUCGGACAAUCUCUGACGACUUGACCUCAAAUCGAGUAAGACUACCCGCUGAACUUAAGCAUAUCAAUAAGCGGAGGA